AUACGUAGGGGGCGAGCGUUGUCCGGAAUGAUUGGGCGUAAAGGGCGCGUAGGCGGCCCGGUAAGUCUGGAGUGAAAGUCCUGUUUUUAAGAUGGGAAUUGCUUUGGAUACUGUCGGGCUUGAGUGCAGGAGAGGUAAGUGGAAUUCCAAGUGUAGCGGUGAAAUGCGUAGAGAUUGGGAGGAACACCAGUGGCGAAGGCGACUUACUGGACUGUAACUGACGCUGAGGCGCGAAAGUGUGGGGAGCAAACAGGAUUAGAUACCCUGGUAGUCCACACUGUAAACGAUGAAUGCUAGGUGUAAGAGGUAUCGACCCCUUUUGUGCCGGAGUCAACACAAUAAGCAUUCCGCCUGGGGAGUACGGCCGCAAGGUUGAAACUCAAAGGAAUUGACGGGG
rnacentral:rRNA from 1 species